GUGAACGCUGGCGGUAGGCCUAACACAUGCAAGUCGAACGGCAGCACAGGAGAGCUUGCUCUCUAGGUGGCGAGUGGCGGACGGGUGAGGAAUACAUCGGAAUCUGCCCAGUCGUGGGGGAUAACGUAGGGAAACUUACGCUAAUACCGCAUACGACCUUCGGGUGAAAGAGGGGGAUCGCAAGACCUCUCGCGAUUGGAUGAGCCGAUGUCGGAUUAGCUAGUUAGCGGGGUAAUGGCCCACCAAGGCGACGAUCCGUAGCUGGUCUGAGAGGAUGAUCAGCCACACUGGAACUGAGACACGGUCCAGACUCCUACGGGAGGCAGCAGUGGGGAAUAUUGGACAAUGGGCGCAAGCCUGAUCCAGCCAUACCGCGUGGGUGAAGAAGGCCUUCGGGUUGUAAAGCCCUUUUGUUGGGAAAGAAAUCUUUCAGGCUAAUACCCUGGGAGGAUGACGGUACCCAAAGAAUAAGCACCGGCUAACUUCGUG
rnacentral:rRNA from 1 species